AUACUUACCUGGUGUCGGACUCGCCGGUGAUCAAGGCGGCCGGGGUCCCGUGCCGAGGCUUGUCCAUUGCACUGCGGCAUGCUGAAGCACGCCACUUUCCCAAACUGGGAUAGCUGGGGCACGCAAUUUUUGGUAGUGGGGCUCGGCGUUCGCGCCAGCCCCUG
rnacentral:snRNA from 1 species